rnacentral:lncRNA from 1 species
GUCGCCCACUUCGGCCGGGCCGCCUUUUGACACGGAGCAGCAGCCUGGUCCCCUGUGCUCUGCGUGCGCCACCCUGCGCUUUGCCAAGACACUGGUCCUGUGGAGGACAGCGGCCGCCGCAGCUCUGGACACAGCUGUCCAGUGGGACUCCUGCCCGGCGUCCCUCCUGUGGUUGCAGGCGGCAUCCUCUCGGAAUUCCUUAUUUCCACCCUGACCCCCUCUCCGAACUCGGGACCUUCAACACAGCGGGACACCUUCCCCACAGUGACUCAGGACCACCUCACCAAACUUGAUGGCAGCAGUUUGAUGGCAGAGUCUCAAGUUGCUGGAGCUCAAAGGGACCUUGGAUUUUUCCAGGUCUACUUUGAUGGGAGUUUUUAUAUUUCAAAAGGUUUGAUCCAUCCUGCAAAUCACUCCAGAUCAUAACAGGCUUCUGGAUCAUUUUCCCCACCUCCAUGAACUCCACACCCGGAAGGUCUGCCUGGAAAUGCUAGCCAUGUGCGAUGUGUGCGCAUGGACUCGGAGCCAAGUCGGUCUGAAGCAGGAAGCGCAGGACCUCAGAUGGUGGCAGAGAGGAGUGUGCACCUUACUGGGGCCACCAGCCAGGGCCCUGGGAGCCAGAUUAGACCCUGAUGCUGGGUUGGGGCCCAUCUCCAGCUGCCUGUGCAUCACCAUGCAGCCCCUCAGAG